AGCAGCCGCGGUAAUUCCAGCUCCAAUAGCGUAUAUUAAAGUUGCUGCAGUUAAAAAGCUCGUAGUUGAAUUUCGGGACCAUCAUGUCGGUCGUGCCUCGGUACGUACUGGCAUUGUUGGUUUCUACCUUCUGACGAACCAUGAUGUCAUUUAUUUGGUGUCGUGGAAAAUCAGGACUGUUACUUUGAAAAAAUUAGAGUGUUUAAAGCAGGCUCACGCUUGAAUACAUUAGCAUGGAAUAAUGAAAUAGGACGUUUGAUUCUAUUUUGUUGGUUUCUAGGAUCGACGUAAUGAUUAAUAGGGAUAGUUGGGGGCAUUAGUAUUCAAUUGUCAGAGGUGAAAGUUCUUGGAUUUAUUGAAGACUAACUACUGCGAAAGCAUUUGCCAGGAUGUUUUCAUUAAUCAAGAACGAAAGUUAGGGGAUCGAAGACGAUCAGAUACCGUCGUAGUCUUAACCNUAAACUAUGCCGACUAGGGAUCGGAUGAUGUUAAUUUUUUGAANGACUCAUUCGGCGCCUUA
rnacentral:rRNA from 1 species